GUGCAGCAGGCGAGAAUCCUUCGCAAUGCAGGAAACUGCGACGAGGGAACUCCAAGUGCCUACGCUCAGCGUAGGCUGUUCUCAAGCCUAGAAAGCUUGAGGAGUAAGGGCUGGGUAAGACGGGUGCCAUCUGUGGUAGCAGUCAAUAGAUUCGAUUUGUUACUGCAAGGCAUAAGCCGCGCGGUAAUACCCGCAGCCCAAGUGGUGGCCGCUUUUAUUGGGCCUAAAGCGUCCGUAGCCGGCCCGGUAAAUGGCCUGGGUAAAUCGUGGAGCCCAACUUCACGAAUUCCGGGUAGACUGCCGAGCUCGGGACCGGAAGAGGGAGAGGGGUACUUCGAGGGGUAGGGGU
rnacentral:rRNA from 1 species